rnacentral:rRNA from 1 species
UACGAAGGGUGCAAACGUUGCUCGGAAUUAUUGGGCGUAAAGCGCACGUAGGCGGCUUUGCAAGUCGGAAGUGAAAUCCCUCGGCUCAACCAAGGAAGUGCUUUCGAAACUGCAGAGCUUGAGUACUUAAGAGGAUCGCGGAAUUCUCGGUGUAGAGGUGAAAUUCGUAGAUAUCGGGAGGAACACCAGUGGCGAAGGCGGCGAUCUGGGAAGAUACUGACGCUGAGGUGCGAAAGCGUGGGGAGCAAACAGG